GGAGAAAUCCGUCUUUCAUUGACGGAACAGAGCAAGCAGGGUGACAUUAUUUAAUC
rnacentral:misc_RNA from 1 species